CAACGAGACAUAUGAGGCCGGGCAGGCGAUUGCUAACGCGGUGGUCAAUCAUGGAUCAGGAAAGCGAAGGCAGGAGCGUGAGGUGAACUGAAUUUCAGUGCACUUCGGGUGUCAUUGUCCCCCAUUUCGCCCAGGUGGGACCGUCUCGUUGCAGAGAAACAAGCACAGGGCUCUCACUGAUUGAGCGUUAUGACAAAAAUGACUCCAAGAUUCCUCACAGUGUUCCUGAAGGCCAAGGUAAUGCCAUCCCAAUUCCUGUCAGUGGAGGAACUCUUAUUCCCCUGAUAUCGCCCCACAGAAUGCUUGCUUGUAGCUGAGCACUGAGCCUCAUCAAUGGAGCCAUUGUCAACUGGCAGCCUGUGCACAUGCUGUAAAACCUGAAGUGCCAAAAGGUGGUGCCACUGCCCUGACACAACAUCCAAUUGAGGCUGUUUGACUCCAGAAGAGGGGGCUGAUGGGUGAAUUUUCUACU
ensembl:lncRNA